rnacentral:lncRNA from 1 species
AAAAAUACAGAAAUUGAAACGGCAAAAAAUACUGAUAGUAGUUCAACUGUUCCAUUGAAUCUCAUCAUUGACUGUUUUAUUCGAGUUCUGAAAAUAAUAUUUACAUAUUCUAAGAUUGAAAUGGAUUGAUAUUAGUCAUUUGAGAAGUUUUUGCGGUUCAAAUUUGUUUGAGGGUCAUUAUUCCAUUGGGUUUCAAGUUAAUUUUAUGGUUUAGUGGUGGAAUCUGGGUUUGUUUAUGGGUUGGAAGCGGUUUGAAAAAAAUGGUUUGUGCUUCUUGCGGUUUUGAUUUGAAAACAUUGCAAUAUAGUUCACUUUAAUUGUUUUGAAGUUAGGUUCCCUUCCUGGAGUUUUCUACUGUUCUAUUGGCGUUUGUGAGCUGAUUUCGUUGUUCAGUUUGUUGAAUCUGGGACUAUCAUCUGCUGAUGUUUACUGCUGAGUAACCAUUCCUUUUCCCUUGUCAAUUUUCAGGUAUUUUUCUUGAAAUUGUAUUGGAGUGGAAGCUUGAUUGAAUGUGUAUGAGGAUCUGCUAACGUGAAUAAUCGAUUGUUGUUGAUUACUGUGUAGUUCAGAUUAAUAUUGCUCAUAUAUAGUUAGCUUGAUGUAAAUAUCCCUUCAUGGAAAUACAUUUGGCUUUAGAUGCUAGAUCUAGGCCCAUUGGAAUGGGAGAACUCCGUGAUCUGGGCAUAAAAAUGCUUGUAAUAAUUGGACAAUGGAUCUUAGAUACACUUGAUUCCAACUAGAAUUCACCUUCCAAAAUCAUGUUAAAUUUGACCAUGUACAACUUUGUGGUUUGGUUUGGAGGUGUUUUUUUUGCAAAUUAUCUUAAGUUUUCUAGGAUAAGAGAGGUAAAAUUGGAGGUCAAUUGGGUCUGAUUUUCUGAAAGUGCCAUUCUAAUUUUGUUAAGUGCGUGGAUGGUUCUGCUCAUCGGUCUACUAUAUUGGUUUGUUCAUUUUAUUUUGUUUAAAAUUUAGACUAUUUAAUCUAUAAGAACGUGGGAUUGUUUGCUGUUUUAUGUAGACUUAUUUGUUCAGUAGAAUUGGGAUUAAAUUCACAUCCUUGUUCUAAUACAAGUAGGUAUUAGGAUAAAAAAAAAAAGAAAAAAAACUAUUUCUUGAACUAUAAUUCCUGGUGCAUUUUUUAAGAAGGAAUCGAAUUUAGGUUUUGCAUUACCUUGUUAAUUUUAAACUUUAG